UACGUAGGGUCCGAGCGUUGUCCGGAAUUACUGGGCGUAAAGAGCUCGUAGGUGGUUUGUCGCGUUGUUCGUGAAAACUCACAACUCAACUGUGGGCGUGCGAGCGAUACGGGCAGACUAGAGUACUGCAGGGGAGACUGGAAUUCCUGGUGUAGCGGUGGAAUGCGCAGAUAUCAGGAGGAACACCGGUGGCGAAGGCAGCUCUCUGGGCCCAAACUGACGCUCAGGUGCGAAAGCGUGGGGAGCGAACGGG
rnacentral:rRNA from 1 species